CACGUAGGGUGCGAGCGUUGUCCGGAAUUAUUGGGCGUAAAGAGCUCGUAGGCGGUUCGGUAAGUCGGGUGUGAAAUCUCCACGCUUAACGUGGAGGGGCCAUUCGAAACUGCCGUGACUCGAGUCCGGUAGGGGAGUGUGGAAUUCCCGGUGUAGCGGUGAAAUGCGCAGAUAUCAGGAGGAACACCGGUGGCGAAGGCGGCUUGCUGGGCCAGUUCUGACGCUGAGGAGCGAAAGCGUGGGGAGCGAACAGG
rnacentral:rRNA from 1 species